GUAGGUGGCAAGCGUUGUCCGGAAUUAUUGGGCGUAAAGCGCGCGCAGGCGGUUCUUUAAGUCUGAUGUGAAAGCCCACGGCUCAACCGUGGAGGGUCAUUGGAAACUGGAGAACUUGAGUACAGAAGAGGAAAGCGGAAUUCCACGUGUAGCGGUGAAAUGCGUAGAGAUGUGGAGGAACACCAGUAGCGAAGGCGGCUUUCUGGUCUGUAACUGACGCUGAGGCGCGAAAGCGUGGGGAGCAAACAGGGAUUAGAUACCCUGGUAGUCCACGCCGUAAACGAUGAGUGCUAAGUGUUAGGGGGGUUUCCGCCCCCUUAGUGCUGCAGCUAACGCAUUAAGCACUCCGCCUGGGGAGUACGGCCGCAAGGCUG
rnacentral:rRNA from 1 species